GGAUAGCUCAGUGGGCUAGAGUGUGGUGCUGACAACAGCAAGGUUGCAGGUUCAAUCCCCAUAAGAGACA